GGCCUCGUGGCUCAUUUGGUUAGAGCGUUGGCUGUUCUAAAGCAUUCCCAUUGCUGGCGUGGGUUCGAAUCCCACCAGGCCA
rnacentral:tRNA from 1 species